CCUGGAAUGAGGAUUGUGCCAAACGCUCCGGCGCCGAAGGAUGUGGCUGCGGCCGAUUAGGUAGACGGUGGGGUAACGGCCCACCGUGCCAAUAAUCGGUACGGGUCAUGAGAGUGAGAACCCGGAGACGGAAUCUGAGACAAGAUUCCGGGCCCUACGGGGCGCAGCAGGCGCGAAACCUUUACACUGCACGACAGUGCGAUAAGGGAAUCCCAAGUGCGCAGGCAUAGAGCCUGCGCUUUUGUCCACCGUAGGGAGGUGGACGAAUAAGGGCUGGGCAAGACCGGUGCCAGCCGCCGCGGUAAUACCGGCAGCCCGAGUGAUGGCCGAUCUUAUUGGGCCUAAAGCGUCCGUAGCUGGCCGCGCAAGUCCAUCGGAAAAUCCACCCGCUCAACGGGUGGGCGUCCGGUGGAAACUGCGUGGCUUGGGACCGGAAGGCGCGACGGGUACGUCCGGGGUAGGAGUGAAAUCCCGUAAUCCUGGACGGACCGCCGAUGGCGAAAGCACGUCGCGAAAACGGAUCCGACAGUGAGGGACGAAAGCUAGGGUCUCGAACCGGAUUAGAUACCCGGGUAGUCCUAGCCGUAAACAAUGCCUGCUAGGUGUGGCUCCCACUACGAGUGGGUGCUGUGCCGUAGGGAAGCCGCUAAGCAGGCCGCCUGGGAAGUACGUCCGCAAGGAUGAAACUUAAAGGAAUUGGCGGGGGAGCACUACAACCGGAGGAGCCUGCGGUUUAAUUGGACUCAACGCCGGACAUCUCACCAGCAUCGACUGUAGUAAUGACGACCAGGUUGAUGACCUUGUCCGAGCUUCAGAGAGGAGGUGCAUGGCCGCCGUCAGCUCGUACCGUGAGGCGUCCUGUUAAGUCAGGCAACGAGCGAGACCCGCAUCCUUACUUGCCAGCAGCACUGCGAAGUGGCUGGGGACAGUAGGGAGACCGCCGUGGCCAACACGGAGGAAGGAACGGGCAACGGUAGGUCAGUAUGCCCCGAAUGUGCUGGGCAACACGCGGGCUACAAUGGUCGAGACAAAGGGUUCCUACUCCGAAAGGAGACGGUAAUCUCAGAAACUCGAUCGUAGUUCGGAUUGUGGGCUGCAACUCGCCCACAUGAAGCUGGAUUCGGUAGUAAUCGCGUGUCA
rnacentral:rRNA from 1 species